rnacentral:rRNA from 1 species
GAAGUAGGUCCCAAGGGUAUGGCUGUUCGCCAUUUAAAGUGGUACGCGAGCUGGGUUUAGAACGUCGUGAGACAGUUCGGUCCCUAUCUGCCGUGGGCGCUGGAGAAUUGAGGGGGGCUGCUCCUAGUACGAGAGGACCGGAGUGGACGCAUCACUGGUGUUCGGGUUGUCAUGCCAAUGGCACUGCCCGGUAGCUAAAUGCGGAAGAGAUAAGUGCUGAAAGCAUCUAAGCACGAAACUUGCCCCGAGAUGAGUUCUCCCUGACUCCUUGAGAGUCCUGAAGGAACGUUGAAGACGACGACGUUGAUAGGCCGGGUGUGUAAGCGCAGCGAUGCGUUGAGCUAACCGGUACUAAUGAACCGUGAGGCUUAACCUUACAACGCCGAAG